rnacentral:rRNA from 1 species
UACGUAGGGUGCGAGCGUUGUCCGGAAUUAUUGGGCGUAAAGAGCUUGUAGGCGGUUUGUCGCGUCUGCUGUGAAAUUUCGGGGCUCAACCCCGAACUUGCAGUGGGUACGGGCAGACUAGAGUGUGGUAGGGGAGACUGGAACUCCUGGUGUAGCGGUGAAAUGCGCAGAUAUCAGGAGGAACACCGAUGGCGAAGGCAGGUCUCUGGGCCACUACUGACGCUGAGAAGCGAAAGCAUGGGGAGCGAACAGG